GAUGAACGCUGGCGGCGUGCCUAAUACAUGCAAGUCGAGCGAACGGACGAGAAGCUUGCUUCUCUGAUGUUAGCGGCGGACGGGUGAGUAACACGUGGAUAACCUACCUAUAAGACUGGGAUAACUUCGGGAAACCGGAGCUAAUACCGGAUAAUAUUAUGAACCGCAUGGUUCAAAAGUGAAAGACGGUCUUGCUGUCACUUAUAGAUGGAUCCGCGCUGCAUUAGCUAGUUGGUAAGGUAACGGCUUACCAAGGCAACGAUGCAUAGCCGACCUGAGAGGGUGAUCGGCCACACUGGAACUGUGACACGGUCCAGACUCCUACGGGAGGCAGCAGUAGGGAAUCUUCCGCAAUGGGCGAAAGCCUGACGGAGCAACGCCGCGUGAGUGAUGAAGGUCUUCGGAUCGUAAAACUCUGUUAUUAGGGAAGAACAUAUGUGUAAGUAACUGUGCACAUCUUGACGGUACCUAAUCAGAAAGCCACGGCUAACUACGUG
rnacentral:rRNA from 1 species